rnacentral:sRNA from 1 species
GCUGGGCGUGGUGGAGCAUGACUGUAAUCCCAGUGGCUGGGGAGGCUGAGGCAGGAGGAUUGCAAGUUCAAAGCCAGUGUCAGCAAAAGCAAGGCACUAAGCAACUCAGUGAGACCCUGUCUCUA